rnacentral:rRNA from 1 species
GGGUAUAGUUCUUCGGAAUUAGAGACCGGCGCACGGGUGCGUAACGCGUAUGCAAUCUACCUUUCACAGAGGGAUAGCCCAGAGAAAUUUGGAUUAAUACCUCAUAGUAUAGCAGUUUCGCAUGAAACCACUAUUAAAGAUUUAUCGGUGAAAGAUGAGCAUGCGUCCCAUUAGUUAGUUGGUAAGGUAACGGCUUACCAAGACAACGAUGGGUAGGGGUCCUGAGAGGGAGAUCCCCCACACUGGUACUGAGACACGGACCAGACUCCUACGGGAGGCAGCAGUGAGGAAUAUUGGACAAUGGGCGCAAGCCUGAUCCAGCCAUGCCGCGUGCAGGAUGACGGUCCUAUGGAUUGUAAACUGCUUUUAUACGAGAAGAAACACUCCGACGUGUCGGAGCUUGACGGUAUCGUAAGAAUAAGGAUCGGCUAACUCCGUGCCAGCAGCCGCGGUAAUACGGAGGAUCCAAGCGUUAUCCGGAAUCAUUGGGUUUAAAGGGUCCGUAGGCGGUCAGAUAAGUCAGUGGUGAAAGCCCAUCGCUCAACGGUGGAACGGCCAUUGAUACUGUCUGACUUGAAUUAUUAGGAAGUAACUAGAAUAUGUAGUGUAGCGGUGAAAUGCUUAGAGAUUACAUGGAAUACCAAUUGCGAAGGCAGGUUACUACUAAUAUAUUGACGCUGAUGGACGAAAGCGUGGGUAGCGAACAGGAUUAGAUACCCUGGUAGUCCACGCCGUAAACGAUGGAUACUAGCUGUUGGGCGCAAGUUCAGUGGCUAAGCGAAAGUGAUAAGUAUCCCACCUGGGGAGUACGUUCGCAAGAAUGAAACUCAAAGGAAUUGACGGGGGCCCGCACAAGCGGUGGAGCAUGUGGUUUAAUUCGAUGAUACGCGAGGAACCUUACCAAGGCUUAAAUGUAGAUUGACCGGUUUGGAAACAGAACUUUCGCAAGACAAUUUACAAGGUGCUGCAUGGUUGUCGUCAGCUCGUGCCGUGAGGUGUCAGGUUAAGUCCUAUAACGAGCGCAACCCCUGUUGUUAGUUGCCAGCGAGUCAAGUCGGGAACUCUAACAAGACUGCCAGUGCAAACUGUGAGGAAAGGGGGGGAUGACGUCAAAUCAUCACGGGCCCUUACGCCUUGG